rnacentral:rRNA from 1 species
UACGUAGGGGGCUAGCGUUGUCCGGAAUCAUUGGGCGUAAAGAGCGUGUAGGCGGUCCGGUAAGUCCGUUGUGAAAGUCAGGGGCUCAACCCUUGAAUGCCGGCGGAUACUGUCGGGCUAGAGUCCGGAAGAGGCGAGUGGAAUUCCCGGUGUAGCGGUGAAAUGCGCAGAUAUCAGGAGGAACACCGGUGGCGAAGGCGGCUUUCUGGGCCUGUCCUGACGCUGAGGCGCGAAAGCUGGGGGAGCGAACAGG